UACGAAGGGGGCUAGCGUUGUUCGGAAUCACUGGGCGUAAAGCGCAUGCAGGCGGAUCGCUAAGUCGGGGGUGAAAUCCCGAGGCUCAACCUCGGAACUGCCUUCGAUACUGGCGAUCUUGAGUCCGGGAGAGGUGAGUGGAACUCCGAGUGUAGAGGUGAAAUUCGUAGAUAUUCGGAAGAACACCAGUGGCGAAGGCGGCUCACUGGCCCGGUACUGACGCUGAGGCACGAAAGCGUGGGGAGCAAACAGG
rnacentral:rRNA from 1 species